CAAAACUUUAAUCUAGUUAUUUGCUCUUAACUUUCUCAUCAUGAAAACUUUUGUAACAAUUGUUGCUUUAACUAUAAUGAAUAUCUUGGCUUUUGCCUCUGCUGAACCCAUUAUUGAUCCCUUGGAUGCAUAUGGCCCUGGAGUAAUUCCACCAGAUUAGAGAAUAAUUCAAAAAAUAAAAUAAAUAUUUUCUUCUGUUACUAUUCGUAUGUUUAAUAAAAAAAAAAACUUCUAAAC